AUUGAACGCUGGCGGCAGGCCUAACACAUGCAAGUCGAGCGGAUGAAGGGAGCUUGCUCCUGGAUUCAGCGGCGGACGGGUGAGUAAUGCCUAGGAAUCUGCCUGGUAGUGGGGGAUAACGUCCGGAAACGGGCGCUAAUACCGCAUACGUCCUGAGGGAGAAAGUGGGGGAUCUUCGGACCUCACGCUAUCAGAUGAGCCUAGGUCGGAUUAGCUAGUUGGUGGGGUAAAGGCCUACCAAGGCGACGAUCCGUAACUGGUCUGAGAGGAUGAUCAGUCACACUGGAACUGAGACACGGUCCAGACUCCUACGGGAGGCAGCAGUGGGGAAUAUUGGACAAUGGGCGAAAGCCUGAUCCAGCCAUGCCGCGUGUGUGAAGAAGUUCUUCGGAUUAUAAAGCACUUUAAGUUGGGAGGAAGUGCAGUAAGUUAAUACCUUGCUGUUUUGACGUUACCAACAGAAUAAGCACCGGCUAACUUCGUG
rnacentral:rRNA from 1 species